AACGAACGCUGGCGGCAUGCCUAACACAUGCAAGUCGAACGAGACCUUCGGGUCUAGUGGCGCACGGGUGCGUAACGCGUGGGAACCUGCCCUUAGGUUCGGAAUAACUCCCCGAAAGGGGUGCUAAUACCGGAUAAUGUCUUCGGACCAAAGAUUUAUCGCCUUUGGAUGGGCCCGCGUUGGAUUAGCUAGUUGGUAGGGUAAAAGCCUACCAAGGCGACGAUCCAUAGCUGGUCUGAGAGGAUGAUCAGCCACACUGGGACUGAGACACGGCCCAGACUCCUACGGGAGGCAGCAGUGGGGAAUAUUGGACAAUGGGGGAAAGCCUGAUCCAGCAAGGACGCGUGAGUGAUGAAGGCCUUAGGGUUGUAAAGCUCUUUUACCCGGGAUGAUAAUGACAGUACCGGGAGAAUAAGCUCCGGCUAACUCCGUG
rnacentral:rRNA from 1 species